GUGCGUGGAUUUUUUUCUUCCAUUCAAUCAUGUCCCAGAGACUGCCUUGACGAAUCCCUGCAGCUUUCUUGGCAAGGUUUUUCAGAAGUAGAUUGCCGUUGCCUCCUUCCUAGGGUGGAGAGAAAGUGGCUGGCCCACGGUCAUCCAGCUGGCUUUGUUCCUAAGACAGGGCUAUUUAAUUACUGUUGGAAAACAUAGCAGGAAUUUGCUACUGUUUUAAAGUGUCUUACUUUUUUUUAUCUUAAUUUAUUACAAAUUAUAUACUUCAGGGACUUUUAAAAAACUUUAUGAAAAUAUUUCCAGAAGUGACUAAUUACCAACAUGAUUGAUGUUGUGAUUACUUCUUGAUUCAUAUUUGACAUUUAUAUCCACCUAUUUGACACAAUAAGAUUACAUCUUUCUGAAAACACUCAAUUUUUGCCUUUCAGUUUGUCAGAAAAUAUCCCUGCUUUUGCACAUUCUCAGCAAAAUAAAGGAUAUACACAGUUCCUUGCUACCUUGCUUGAAGAAUUAUGUAUCAAAACUGAAGAUCUGGAAAGUCUAACAAAAAUAUUUAGAAGUGGCUGACUCCCUCACUGAAUAAGAAGAUCAUCCUUCAUUUCUCUCUUGAACAGAGAUUGAAUUAAUGUUCCACACUGGAUUUGUCAAACCGCUAGAAAUGUUUUUGCAGUUUAGUUAAAAAUACCAACUUUUUAAAAAAAAACAACAAUGACAAGAGCUUUUAUUAUAUUGCUGCUUGUUUUAUUUUUUAUAAAUUUAAUUUCACCACAUUAAAUUAAACUUUUUCAAAUGGAAGAAUAUCUGUGCCAUUUUAUUGUUGCACCAAUCGGAUGUCAAAGGACAUAAUUUCUCAAGAAAAUAUUGUAUCAUGUGAUGGGAAGCCCAUUUUUAUUUAUGUUCGUUAUUUGAGUCUUCAAAAAAACCAGAUGCGUUGGAAUUUGAAUGCCCUUUCAGUUUUCUUAAUAAAAAGACAUAAUUUCAAUCA